AGGGAAUAUUGGGCAAUGGACGAGAGUCUGACCCAGCCAUGCCGCGUGCAGGAAGAAGGCUUUCUGAGUCGUAAACUGCUUUUGACAGGGAAGAAUAAGUACUACGUGUAGUACGAUGACGGUACCUGCAGAAUAAGCACCGGCUAACUCCGUGCCAGCAGCCGCGGUAAUACGGAGGGUGCGAGCGUUGUCCGGAUUUAUUGGGUUUAAAGGGUGCGUAGGCGGCCGUUUAAGUCUGGGGUGAAAGCCCGCUGCUCAACAGCGGAACUGCCCUGGAUACUGGAUGGCUUGAGUACAGACGAGGUUGGCGGAAUGGACUGAGUAGCGGUGAAAUGCAUAGAUACAGUCCAGAACCCCGAUUGCGAAGGCAGCUGACUAGGCUGUGACUGACGCUGAGGCACGAAAGCGUGGGGAGCGAAC
rnacentral:rRNA from 1 species